rnacentral:misc_RNA from 1 species
CAAUAAUUCACCACCACACGCUAUGUACUUGUCGAAGAACCAGGCUGCCACACCUACGGGACCAAAUCUCAUGGAGGAAAAAAGAUGAAGAAAAAGGCUUCAUGUGGAAGGAAAGCACCCCCGUCAUAUGAUGUGCAAUACCGAACUAAAAAGCUUUCCAGUUAUCAGAACUUUUUCUUGGAGUUUCACUCUCUACUGAUGUCUUAAAUGGCCCAGUAGAGCCAAAUGGAUCAGAGUCG